rnacentral:rRNA from 1 species
GACGAACGCUGGCGGCGUGCUUAACACAUGCAAGUCGAACGGAAAGGCCCUGCUUUUGUGGGGUGCUCGAGUGGCGAACGGGUGAGUAACACGUGAGUAACCUGCCCUUGACUUUGGGAUAACUUCAGGAAACUGGGGCUAAUACCGGAUAGGAGCUCCUGCUGCAUGGUGGGGGUUGGAAAGUUUCGGCGGUUGGGGAUGGACUCGCGGCUUAUCAGCUUGUUGGUGGGGUAGUGGCUUACCAAGGCUUUGACGGGUAGCCGGCCUUAGAGGGUGACCGGCCACAUUGGUACUGAGAGACGGCGCAGACGCCUACGGGAGGCAGCAGUGGGGAAUAUUGCACAAUGAGCGGAAGCCUGAUGCAGCAACGCCGCGUGCGGGAUGACGGCCUUCUGGUUGUGAACCGCUUUCGCCUGAGACGAAGCGGGAGUGACGGUAAUGAGUAAAGAAGCACCGGCUAACUACGUG